AGCAGGAUCAUGAAGAAGGCCUUGCCGGCCAAUGGAAAAAUUGCUAAAGAUGCCAAGGAUACCGUCCAGGAAUGCGUCUCUGAGUUUAUCAGUUUUGUCACUAGCGAGGCAAGUGAUAAGUGUCAAAAGGAGAAGAGGAAGACAAUCAAUGGGGAUGAUUUGUUGUGGGCAAUGGCAACAUUAGGCUUUGAAGACUAUAUUGAACCACUUAAGGUGUACCUAGCUAGGUACAGGGAGAUAGAGGGUGACACUAAGGGAUCUGCUAGGGGUGGAGAUGGAUCAGCUAAAAGGGAUGCAAUUGGAGGUCUCCCUGGUCAAAAUCCACAGUUUGCUAUUCAGGGGUCAAUGAACUACAUUAGUUCCCA
rnacentral:misc_RNA from 1 species